CAGGUAGGGAUCCCGCUGAACUUAAGCAUAUCAAUA
rnacentral:rRNA from 1 species